ensembl:miRNA gga-mir-1755 gga-mir-1755
UCUGUGGGACUUUGGAUCGGUGAAUGGCUUGGCAUGUGCUGUAGCCUCCAGCACUGCUCAGCUGCGUAUGAAAAACGAUGAGGUCCUUUGA